UACGUAGGGACCAAGCGUUGUCCGGAAUCAUUGGGCGUAAAGAGCGUGUAAGCGGCUUGUUAAGUCUUGCGUGAAAUCUCGGGGCUCAACCCCGAGCGGUCGUGAGAAACUGGCAGGCUAGAGUGCGGGAGAGGAGAGUGGAAUUCCUGGUGUAGCGGUGAAAUGCGCAGAUAUCAGGAAGAACACCCGUGGCGAAGGCGGCUCUCUGGAACGCAACUGACGCUGAGACGCGAAAGCGUGGGGAGCAAACAGG
rnacentral:rRNA from 1 species